rnacentral:rRNA from 1 species
AUACAUGCAAGUCGAACGCGUCUCCGUUAAUGAUUUUAGGUGCUUGCACUUGAAAGAUUUAACAUUGAGACGAGUGGCGAACUGGUGAGUAACACGUGGGUAACCUGCCCUUGAAGUAGGGGAUAACACUUGGAAACAGGUGCUAAUACCGUAUAACAACCAAAACCACCUGGUUUUGGUUUAAAAGACGGCUUCGGCUGUCACUUUAGGAUGGACCCGCGGCGUAUUAGCUUGUUGGUAAGGUAACGGCUUACCAAGGCGAUGAUACGUAGCCGACCUGAGAGGGUAAUCGGCCACAUUGGGACUGAGACACGGCCCAAACUCCUACGGGAGGCAGCAGUAGGGAAUCUUCCACAAUGGACGAAAGUCUGAUGGAGCAACGCCGCGUGAGUGAUGAAGGGUUUCGGCUCGUAAAACUCUGUUGUUGGAGAAGAACAGGUGUCAGAGUAACUGUUGACAUCUUGACGGUAUCCAACCAGAAAGCCACGGCUAACUACGUGCCAGCAGCCGCGGUAAUACGUAGGUGGCAAGCGUUGUCCGGAUUUAUUGGGCGUAAAGCGAGCGCAGGCGGUUUUUUAGGUCUGAUGUGAAAGCCUUCGGCUUAACCGGAGAAGUGCAUCGGAAACCGGGAGACUUGAGUGCAGAAGAGGACAGUGGAACUCCAUGUGUAGCGGUGAAAUGCGUAGAUAUAUGGAAGAACACCAGUGGCGAAGGCGGCUGUCUGGUCUGUAACUGACGCUGA